GGUGGGGGGUCCCUUUGUUGUAAUCCAAAGAAAGGGACAAGACUAGACUUUGCCAUUGAGAAAACCACAUCUAGAAGCUCCACCAUAGCUUUUAUAUCGCCAUUUGCCAAAUCCAAAACAACACCUCUAUCUUAGCUUUUGCCACAAUCGUUUCCGAUUUGGAGAAAGACCCAGAGUUUCUUUUUACAUUAAUGUUUCAUAAAUAAAUGAAAUUGUAGAGCUUUCAAGAUAUCAAUUACAACCACUCUCUUU
rnacentral:lncRNA from 1 species